rnacentral:tRNA from 2 species
GCGCCUGUAGCUCAGUGGAUAGAGCGUCUGCCUCCGGAGCAGAAGGUCGGGGGUUCGAGUCCCUUCAGGCGCACCG